rnacentral:rRNA from 1 species
AUUGAACGCUGGCGGCAGGCCUAACACAUGCAAGUCGAACGGUAACAGGAAGAAGCUUGCUUCUUUGCUGACGAGUGGCGGACGGGUGAGUAAUGUCUGGGAAACUGCCUGAUGGAGGGGGAUAACUACUGGAAACGGUAGCUAAUACCGCAUAACGUCGCAAGACCAAAGAGGGGGACCUUCGGGCCUCUUGCCAUCGGAUGUGCCCAGAUGGGAUUAGCUAGUUGGUGGGGUAACGGCUCACCAAGGCGACGAUCCCUAGCUGGUCUGAGAGGCUGACCAGCCACACUGGAACUGGGACACGGUCCAGACUCCUACGGGAGGCAGCAGUGGGGAAUAUUGCACAAUGGGCGCAAGCCUGAUGCAGCCAUGCCGCGUGUAUGAAGAAGGCCUUCGGGUUGUAAAGUACUUUCAGCGGGGAGGAAGGGAGUAAAGUUAAUACCUUUGCUCAUUGACGUUACCCGCGGAAGAAGCACCGGCUAACUCCGUGCCAGCAGCCGCCGUAA